GACGAACGCUGGCGGCGUGCUUAACACAUGCAAGUCGAACGGAAAGGCCCUGCUUUUGUGGGGUGCUCGAGUGGCGAACGGGUGAGUAACACGUGAGUAACCUGCCCUUGACUUUGGGAUAACUUCAGGAAACUGGGGCUAAUACCGGAUAGGAGCUCCUGCUGCAUGGUGGGGGUUGGAAAGUGUCGGCGGUUGUGGAUGGACUCGCGGCUUAUCAGCUGGUUGGUGGGGUAGUGGCUUACCAAGGCUUUGACGGGUAGCCGGCCUGAGAGGGUGACCGGCCACAUUGGGCCUGAGAUACGGCGCAGACGCCAACGUGAGGCAGCAGUGGGGAGUCUUGCACAAUGGGCGGAAGCCUGAUGCAGCAACGCCGCGUGCGGGAUGCCGGCCUUCGGGUUGUAAACCGCUUUCGCCUGUGACGAAGCGUGAGUGACGGUACUGGGUAAGGAAGCCCCGGCUAACUACGUG
rnacentral:rRNA from 1 species